rnacentral:rRNA from 1 species
GUCGAACGCUGGCGGCGUGCCUAAUACAUGCAAGUUGAGCGCUGAAGGUUGGUACUUGUACCAACUGGAUGAGCAGCGAACGGGUGAGUAACGCGUGGGGAAUCUGCCCUUGAGCGGGGGACAACAUUUGGAAACGAAUGCUAAUACCGCAUAAAAACUUUAAACACAAGUUUUAAGUUUGGAAGAUGCAAUUGCAUCACUCAAAGAUGAUCCCGCGUUGUAUUAGCUAGUUGGUGAGGUAAAGGCUCACCAAGGCGAUGAUACAUAGCCGACCUGAGAGGGUGAUCGGCCACAUUGGGACUGAGACACGGCCCAAACUCCUACGGGAGGCAGCAGUAGGGAAUCUUCGGCAAUGGACGAAAGUCUGACCGAGCAACGCCGCGUGAGUGAAGAAGGUUUUCGGAUCGUAAAACUCUGUUGGUAGAGAGGAACGUUGGUGAGAGUGGAAAGCUCAUCAAGUGACGGUAACUACCCAGAAAGGGACGGCUAACUACGUG